UCUCCUGGAAACGGGUGGUAAUGCCGGAUGCUCCAGUUGAUCGCAUGGUCUUCUGGGAAAGCUUUCGCGGUAUGGGAUGGGGUCGCGUCCUAUCAGCUUGACGGCGGGGUAACGGCCCACCGUGGCUUCGACGGGUAGCCGGCCUGAGAGGGCGACCGGCCACAUUGGGACUGAGAUACGGCCCAGACUCCUACGGGAGGCAGCAGUGGGGAAUAUUGCACAAUGGGCGCAAGCCUGAUGCAGCGACGCCGCGUGAGGGAUGGAGGCCUUCGGGUUGUAAACCUCUUUUAUCGGGGAGCAAGCGAGAGUGAGUUUACCCGUUGAAUAAGCACCGGCUAACUACGUGCCAGCAGCCGCGGUAAUACGUAGGGUGCAAGCGUUAUCCGGAAUUAUUGGGCGUAAAGGGCUCGUAGGCGGUUCGUCGCGUCCGGUGUGAAAGUCCAUCGCUUAACGGUGGAUCCGCGCCGGGUACGGGCGGGCUUGAGUGCGGUAGGGGAGACUGGAAUUCCCGGUGUAACGGUGGAAUGUGUAGAUAUCGGGAAAGAAC
rnacentral:rRNA from 1 species